rnacentral:tRNA from 1 species
ACUUGAAUAGCUUAUGUUUAGGGCGCAACAUUGAAGAUGUUGAUGAGGUAAUUAAUUACCUUUAAGUA